AUUGAACGCUGGCGGCAGGCCUAACACAUGCAAGUCGAGCGAGCGGCGGACGGGUGAGUAAUGUAUGGGGAACUGCCUGAUGGAGGGGGAUAACUACUGGAAACGGUGGCUAAUACCGCAUACCAUCGGAUGUGCCCAUAUGGGAUUAGCUAGUAGGUGGGGUAAAGGCUCACCUAGGCGACGAUCUCUAGCUGGUCUGAGAGGAUGAUCAGCCACACUGGGACUGAGACACGGCCCAGACUCCUACGGGAGGCAGCAGUGGGGAAUAUUGCACAAUGGGCGCAAGCCUGAUGCAGCCAUGCCGCGUGUAUGAAGAAGGCCUUAGGGUUGUAAAGCACUUUCAGCGGGGAGGCGUUACCCGCAGAAGAAGCACCGGCUAACUCCGUGCCAGCAGCCGCGGUAAUUC
rnacentral:rRNA from 1 species